UACGGGGGGGGCAAGCGUUGUUCGGAAUUACUGGGCGUAAAGGGCGCGUAAGCGGUUCGCUAAGUCGGAUGUGAAAACUCUGGGCUCAACCCAGAGCCUGCAUCCGAAACUGGCGGGCUAGAGUUCUGGAGGGGGUAGCGGAAUUCCCGGUGUAGCGGUGAAAUGCGUAGAUAUCGGGAGGAACAUCAGUGGCGAAGGCGGCCUUCUGGUCCAGUACUGACACUCAAGUGCGAAAGCAUGGGGAGCAAACAGG
rnacentral:rRNA from 1 species